rnacentral:rRNA from 1 species
GUUGGCUUAGAAGCAGCCAUCCUUUAAAGAAAGCGUAAUAGCUCACUGGUCGAGCCGCCCGGUGCCGACAAUCCAACGGGGCUCAAGCAUGGUACCGAAGUCGCGGGUCUGUUCUUCGGAACAGGCGGUAGGAGAGCGUUCUGUUCAGCGUUGAAGGCAGACCGAAAGGACUGUUGAAGCGGACAGAAGUGACUCUGCCAGCAUAAGUAGCGAUAAGCCAGGUGAGAACCCUGGCCGCCGUAAGACUAAGGUUUCCUGAGAAAGGUUAAUCCGCUCAGGGUUAGUCGGAGCCUAAGGUGAGGCCGAAAGGCGUAGCCGAUGGACACACGGUUAAUAUUCCGUGACCUCCUAAGGAGAUACCGAUGCGGGGACGCAGCUUUGAGCUUGGCAGUGGCAAUGGUUUCCACUGUUGGGGGAGAAGAGGACCGGAGAGGCAAAUCCGCCGGUUCGUCUGCCAGGAAAAGCCGCUAAGGGCCAAGGGAGUCCGUACCACAAACCGACACAGGUGGUCGAGAUGAGUAUUCUAAGGCGCUCGGGUGAUAGGUUGUUCAGGAACUAGGCACAUUGACCCCGUAACUUCGGGAGAAGGGGUGCCCACCUCAGACGUGGGCCGCAGAGAAUAGCGCAGGGCGACUGUUUAACAAAAACACAGGUCUCUGCAAAGUCACAAAAACGACGUAUAGGGGCUGACGCCUGCCCGGUGCCGGAAGGUUAAAAGGAGGGGUUAGCCGCAAGGUGAAGCUCUGAAUUGAAGCCCCGGUGAACGGCGGCCGUAACUAUAACGGUCCUAAGGUAGCGAAAUUCCUUGUCGGGUAAGUUCCGACCUGCACGAAUGGCGUAACGAUCCUGCGACUGUCUUAACAACCUGCCCGGCGAACUUGUGGUUCCGGUGAAGACGCCGGAUGCCCGCCACUAGACGGAAAGACCCCGUGCACCUUUACUGCACCCUAACAAUGAAUCGUGGGGCGGUCUGCGCAGCAUAGGUGGGAGGCUUUGAAACCGGACUCUUGGGUUCGGUGGAGCCAACAUUGAGAUACCACCCUGAUCGUUCUGUGCUUCUAACCUACUCCCGUGAUCCGGGAGAGGGACAUUGUUAGGCGGGUAGUUUGACUGGGGCGGUCGCCUCCUAAACGGUAACGGAGGCGCUCGAAGCUUGGUUCAGGAGGUUUGGAAAUCCUCCUUCGAGUGCAAUGGCAUAAACCAGGUUGACUGCGAGACCUACAAGUCAAGCAGGUGCGAAAGCAGGACAUAGUGAUCCGGUGGUUCUGAAUGGAAGGGCCAUCGCUCAACGGAUAAAAGGUACGCCGGGGAUAACAGGCUGAUC